rnacentral:rRNA from 1 species
UACGAAGGGGGCUAGCGUUGCUCGGAAUCACUGGGCGUAAAGGGCGCGUAGGCGGCUUUUUAAGUCGGGGGUGAAAGCCUGUGGCUCAACCACAGAAUGGCCUUCGAUACUGGGACGCUUGAGUAUGGUAGAGGUUGGUGGAACUGCGAGUGUAGCGGUGAAAUGCGUAGAUAUCUGGAGGAACACCGGUGGCGAAGGCGGCAUCCUGGACCAACACUGACGCUGAGGAGCGAAAGCCAGGGGAGCAAACGGG